rnacentral:rRNA from 1 species
GAUUAUGGCUCAGGAUGAACGCUGGCGGCGUGCUUAACACAUGCAAGUCGAACGAAGCAGCUUCUGCUGCAAGAAAGUUGACUUAGUGGCGGACGGGUGAGUAACGCGUGGGUAACCUGCCUCAUACAGGGGGAUAACAGUUGGAAACGACUGCUAAGACCGCAUAACCCGCUAGUGUCGCAUGACACGGACGGAAAAUAUUUAUAGGUAUGAGAUGGGCCCGCGUCUGAUUAGCUAGUUGGUAAGGUAACGGCUUACCAAGGCGACGAUCAGUAGCCGACUUGAGAGAGUGAUCGGCCACAUUGGGACUGAGACACGGCCCAAACUCCUACGGGAGGCAGCAGUGGGGAAUAUUGGACAAUGGGGGAAACCCUGAUCCAGCCGACGCCGCGUGAGUGAAGAAGUAUUUCGGUAUGUAAAGCUCUAUCAGCAGGGAAGAUAAUGACAGUACCUGACUAAGAAGCCCCGGCUAACUACGUGCCAGCCGCGGC